CCGUGCUAAACGGGGAGAUAGCGGUGCCCUGUAACCUGCAAACCGCUACAGCAGGGUUGACCACCUCUAUGAGGGAUUCCUGAAGUGGAGCUGCCCUCGAUAAGUACCGAUGAAGGAUGAGUCCUGCGCAAUAAGGACUUUCGAACCCUGUCAGGUCCGGAAGGAAGCAGCAGUAAGGGAGACCCCUUAUGUGCCGCGGGAGCGCUUGUCUGGAGAAAACUGUCGAGGUAACGUCUGUUUUGAGAUUUCGAUGGAGGCGCACGG
rnacentral:SRP_RNA from 1 species